ensembl:lncRNA
UGGGGGCAUCAGAAUGGUCUGAAUUUGGGCGGCAGCUACUUUAUCAUAUAGUCAGCUCCACCCAGAACUCUCUCUAUCACACACACACACUUUCUGUCAUUCACUUGACUGUCAGUCACCUGAGCUGUCAAACAGCAUAAAUGAUGAACUGAGAACAAGAUGAGACAAGACAUCAUGCUCAGCAGACUGAUACUGCUGUCUGCCCUCUGUAUGGCAACAUCUGCAUCUCUGGGUAAUGCACAGUGCAAUGCAACACACUCAGAUGAAACAGGAUCAUGCAGUCUCACUACUGAUAGAACCAGCAAUCAAACUUUGAACAGCUGUGAUCUGAAUAAUCUGAAAAACUUCAGCUCUCUGAUUUUAAAUGCAGUGGAUGACACUGUACACCAUCUACAAUGUAUAUCAAACAGCCCAGCAAGUUUUCCUCAAGAAAAACUUCACAUGCUCCAAACUGAGCUUGGAAAGAUCAUUGCAUCAACACUAAAUGUUAUGGUUCACCUUGGAGUUUCUUCAAACGAGGACAUUGCUGACAGUUUUGGUGCUUUACACACACUGACUGCAGAAAAUGUGCAAAACAUGGAGUUUGUUCAGUCAUGGAUCUGUGUCAGGCUUAUUCCACUCCUCCCGUUUAUUACCACAGAGUUUAUAUCCAACAUGAGCAAGAUAAACUUUUCAUGUGUCAGCUACCAGACAAUAGUCAAAACACUCAGUCAGCAGGUGAAUCUGAUCAAUGGAACAUCUAAGACCUCCAUCUACACCCAAUUCAUUCAGCCAUUCUUGUCUAGACAACUUUCAGAUCCUGCAUGUCUUUCUAACAUUAUGAGCAGUGCUGAAUGGCUUGUGAAAAAUUUUGGUGAAUUUUCAUUCUACGCUACCUUAAAGGAUCUACAAACUCUGAAUGUAAAUUUUUCCAGUCUGGCAGCUUUGGAAUCCCUGUCACCUGACCAGAAAGCAGAGCUGCUGUUGGAUCCGUCCACCGGUGCUCUUGAAAAUGUGACCGUGGUGAAGGAGGUGUUGAGCAGCAUCCUAAAAGCCCCAGAUGAGGAGCAGCUAGAGAAAUUCUUUGAAACGUUUGUGGAGGUCAGCAAGGAGG